rnacentral:rRNA from 1 species
GUGAGUCAUCGAGUCUUUGAACGCACCUUGCGCCCUUUGGCUAUUCCGAAGGGCAUGCCUGUUUGAGUAUCAUGAACACCUCAACUCUCAUGGUCUGCCAUGAUGAGCUUGGACUUUGGGGGUCUUUGCCGGCGUAACCGUCGGCUCCUCUCAAAUGAAUCAGCUUGCCAGUGUUUGGUGGCGUCACAGGUGUGAUAACUAUCUACGCUUGUGAUCUUCCAUCAGGUUACCUUCAGUAAUGGGGUUCGCUGGAGCUCACAGAUGUGUCUCUCCUCAGGGAGGACAGCUUUUUAAUGUUUGAUCUCAAAUCAGGUUAGGACUACCCGCUGAACUUAAGCAUAUCAAUAAGCGGAGG